rnacentral:lncRNA from 1 species
GAAGAGCUUUUUAGUGAGUUCAUCGAGAGAUUUCUUUUCAUCUUUGGGCCUGGAAGAAAUAACAGUUUUAAGGUCAAAGCGGAGGUACUCAGCCUUGAGACGAAGGUCAUUCAUGACAUAGGGCCAUGCUUUUUUGUCGAUCAAGGUCUUGACACCAAGGAUGUCUUUGGCUGAUUCCUUUGCCCUCUGAGCCGCUUGUGCCGGAGUCAAUGGUUGGAGGAAAAACCGAUCUUUGUACGGCAGAUCAAGGUCUCUUGGCUCAUCGGAAUUCAAAGUUCCGGCUGCCAACAACAUGGUUUGGCUAUCAAAUUAUUGAACCGUAUCACAUGCUGAUGAUUGGGUUAAUUGUACCAAAUGUCUUUUUCAGGUAAAAGUACAUGGAGUCCUCUGUAUUAGUCGGAUUGUAUUUUAUUUUUUCUACUUAAAAAAUGAGUAAAUUAGUUUCUCUACACUCAAUCAAAGAGUAAACUAGUUCUUUUGUUAAAAAUUUAAUCCAUUUUGUGUUAAAAAUUGGUCUUUAUACAUGUAACACAUUAAGUAUCCUAUUUGAUUAUUCUAUUAUUCACGUUAGUUUUUAAUAGUAUAAAUCAAUAAAAAUUUUAACAAAAAAGGCCAAUUUACUCUUGAAUCUAAUAUAUAUAGUUUAAUUUGUCCACUUUUUAGUAAAAAUUGCAAAAUGUUAUUUAACUCUUAGUAUAAGAGUUUCCAUGAUAUAAUUGCUCUUUUUCACUACCACCCAUAUUUUAAAUCCAUUUCAAACUUCAGAACAUUUUAAUUAUAUCUUCAAAGUAUUAUGAAGGUAUCAAUCAUGUCCUGAUUAGCCAAUUUAAGCUAAUAGCAUUAGCUUAGGAGUUAAAUACUAGCUGUAAUCGAAGCAAGUAAAGUGAUGAUUUGAAUGGGUAAUUGAAGAAG